AGGGCCGGGAUGCGGUGCAGUGUU
rnacentral:miRNA from 1 species